UUGACGGGGGCCCGCACAAGCGGUGGAGCAUGUGGUUUAAUUCGAUGCAACGCGAAGAACCUUACCUAGACUUGACAUCCCGGGAAUCCUUAGGAAACUAAGGAGUGCCUUUCGGGGAGCCCGGAGACAGGUGCUGCAUGGCUGUCGUCAGCUCGUGUCGUGAGAUGUUGGGUUAAGUCCCGCAACGAGCGCAACCCUUGUCAUUAGUUGCUACAUUCAGUUGGGCACUCUAAUGAGACUGCCGGUGACAAACCGGAGGAAGGUGGGGAUGACGUCAAGUCCUCAUGGCCCUUAUAGGUGGGGCUACACACGUCAUACAAUGGAUGGUACAAAGGGUCGCCAACCCGCGAGGGGGAGCCAAUCCCAUAAAGCCAUUCGUAGUCCGGAUCGCAGUCUGCAACUCGACUGCGUGAAGUCGGAAUCGCUAGUAAUCGUGGAUCAGAAUGUCACGGUGAAUACGUUCCCGGGUCUU
rnacentral:rRNA from 1 species